rnacentral:rRNA from 1 species
UUAGAGUUUGAUUUUGGGUGAGGACGAACGCUGGCGGCGCGCCUAACACAUGCAAGUCGAACGAGCGAGAGAGAGCUUGCUUUCUCGAGCGAGUGGCGAACGGGUGAGUAACGCGUGAGGAACCUGCCUCAAAGAGGGGGACAACAGUUGGAAACGACUGCUAAUACCGCAUAAGCCCACAGCUCGGCAUCGAGCAGAGGGAAAAGGAGCAAUCCGCUUUGAGAUGGCCUCGCGUCCGAUUAGCUAGUUGGUGAGGUAAUGGCCCACCAAGGCGACGAUCGGUAGCCGGACUGAGAGGUUGAACGGCCACAUUGGGACUGAGACACGGCCCAGACUCCUACGGGAGGCAGCAGUGGGGAAUAUUGCACAAUGGGGGAAACCCUGAUGCAGCGACGCCGCGUGGAGGAAGAAGGUCUUCGGAUUGUAAACUCCUGUUGUUGAGGAAGAUAAUGACGGUACUCAACAAGGAAGUGACGGCUAACUACGUGCCAGCAGCCGCAGUAAAACGUAGGUCACAAGCGUUGUCCGGAAUUACUGGGUGUAAAGGGAGCGCAGGCGGGAAGACAAGUUGGAAGUGAAAUCCAUGGGCUCAACCCAUGAACUGCUUUCAAAACUGUUUUUCUUGAGUAGUGCAGAGGUAGGCGGAAUUCCCGGUGUAGCGGUGGAAUGCGUAGAUAUCGGGAGGAACACCAGUGGCGAAGGCGGCCUACUGGGCACCAACUGACGCUGAGGCUCGAAAGUGUGGGUAGCAAACAGGAUUAGAUACCCUGGUAGUCCACACUGUAAACGAUGAUUACUAGGUGUUGGAGGAUUGACCCCUUCAGUGCCGCAGUUAACACAAUAAGUAAUCCACCUGGGGAGUACGACCGCAAGGUUGAAACUCAAAGGAAUUGACGGGGGCCCGCACAAGCAGUGGAGUAUGUGGUUUAAUUCGACGCAACGCGAAGAACCUUACCAAGUCUUGACAUCCUGCGACGCACAUAGAAAUAUGUGUUUCCUUCGGGACGCAGAGACAGGUGGUGCAUGGUUGUCGUCAGCUCGUGUCGUGAGAUGUUGGGUUAAGUCCCGCAACGAGCGCAACCCUUAUGGUCAGUUACUACGCAAGAGGACUCUGGCCAGACUGCCGUUGACAAAACGGAGGAAGGUGGGGAUGACGUCAAAUCAUCAUGCCCUUUAUGACUUGGGCUACACACGUACUACAAUGGCGUUAAACAAAGAGAAGCAAGACCGCGAGGUGGAGCAAAACUCAGAAACAACGUCCCAGUUCGGACUGCAGGCUGCAACUCGCCUGCACGAAGUCGGAAUUGCUAGUAAUCGCAGAUCAGCAUGCUGCGGUGAAUACGUUCCCGGGCCUUGCACUCACCGCCCGUCA